UCUGGAUCCCCGGGAGGACCCCACCCCGACCUGGCCGGCCCCCGUGACCGCCCUCCCUGCCGAGGGGGCACCUGUCCGGGUGGUCCGCAGCCUGCACACGGUAGGUGCACCCUGGGCAGGUGCUUCCCCCGCAGGAGCCCCUCCGGCCAGGUGCGGCCCCUAACAGGUGCUUCUCCUGCAGUUGCUCCUCCAGCAGGUGAGGCCCCCGGCAGGUCAGCUGCCCAUAGGGUGGAGAGGGAGAGGCCUUAGCGGGGACCCUCGGAGGCACCCGUGUGAAGGAGGAGUAGCAAUGUCAUUCAAUUCUUUGGACUUAAAUGCCAAAAUCACAUACUGAUGUAUCAAUCUCUU
rnacentral:lncRNA from 1 species